UACGUAGGGUGCGAGCGUUGUCCGGAAUUAUUGGGCGUAAAGAGCUCGUAGGCGGUUUGUCGCGUCGACUGUGAAAACCUACAGCUUAACUGUGGGCUUGCGGUCGAUACGGGCAUCACUGGAGUUCGGCAGGGGAGACUGGAAUUCCUGGUGUAGCGGUGAAAUGCGCAGAUAUCAGGAGGAACACCGGUGGCGAAGGCGGGUCUCUGGGCCGAUACUGACGCUGAGGAGCGAAAGCGUGGGGAGCGAACAGG
rnacentral:rRNA from 1 species